rnacentral:rRNA from 1 species
GAUGAACGCUGGCGGCGUGCCUAAUACAUGCAAGUCGAGCGAACAGACGAGGAGCAUGCUCCUCUGACGUUAGCGGCGGACGGGUGAGUAACACGUGGAUAACCUACCUAUAGGACUGGGAUAACUUCGGGAAACCGGAGCUAAUACCGGAUAAUAUAUUGAACCGCAUGGUUCAAUAGUGAAAGACGGUUUUGCUGUCACUUAUAGAUGGAUCCGCGCCGCAUUAGCUAGUUGGUAAGGUAACGGCUUACCAAGGCAACGAUGCGUAGCCGACCUGAGAGGGUGAUCGGCCACACUGGAACUGAGACACGGUCCAGACUCCUACGGGAGGCAGCAGUAGGGAAUCUUCCGCAAUGGGCGAAAGCCUGACGGAGCAACGCCGCGUGAGUGAUGAAGGUCUUCGGAUCGUAAAACUCUGUUAUUAGGGAAGAACAAAUGUGUAAGUAACUAUGCACGUCUUGACGGUACCUAAUCAGAAAGCCACGGCUAACUACGUG